UACUAUAUACUACAUUUUCUUUCCGAUAGACAAAUGUUAAAAUAUUAUUUUGACAAUCAAAAGUGGCGUGAGAAAAUAAUUUCGAUUAAAUAUCAUAAUAUUUGUUCAAAGAAGAUCGAAAUUUGUGCUCACAAACCAUUAUAGCCAUAAAGAUUUCAGUAUAGCUUUCUGUCACGAGGUCAAAAUGAACUCAAUGAAAUAGUUAUAUCAAUAAAAUAUAAAAAUAAUUGAAAAGUAAAACGUCAGAAAUCACAAGUUUGCACAAAGCCCUACAAAUGCACUAAGGAUAAGUAUAGACACAAUUACCCCACCUACAAAGAAAUCAGCGCAUGCGUAUGAGUGUUGCAAAAAAAAGUGUUGCAUUAAAAAAAAAGCAAAUUGCGAUAACAGUAAAGCCAAUACAAAGAAAACGAUAGUACAAACCUGGUUUUGCUACAAUGCUCUACAGUAUCGGGUAAAUUAUAAUGCAAUUUUGAUGAAAUGUGCAAUGAACGCUUUAAAAAAUAAAUUUUGUUCAAGAAAGAAAAAAGUGACGCUUAAAUUAAAUAAAAAACAUAAUUUGCGUUUUUUUGUAAUUUUGUGUUUUUAAUAUGGUUUUAGAAAGGCAUUUUAUGCAUGUAUUACGUUUUUUUUUGGUUUUUCUAAAAAUAUUUACGAACAAUUUCGGGUUACAAUA